CGCACACCUGGGUCUUUGCCGUCAAAGUCACUCGUCGCCAUCACUGUCGCUCGUCGGCAUCACCAUUUCUGCUGCGCUACAGUGGUUUGCUUUGAUUUCUAGUGUCUUGUAAGGCUUUCUUUCUCGGGCCACCAUGGAAUUCUAGAAUGCUUGUUGAAGUACCAAUGAAAGGCAAGCUUUUCUAAUUUGACAUCUGGUCAACGAGCUCCGGUUGCGAGUGCCGAGUAGCAGCAUUUGGUCGACGAGCGACGAGUAGCAUCGUCUAGUCAUUUUAAUCUGUUUGGCUAUGAGCAAGAAUCAGGUAUGUUUUUUUCCAGCGUUUUAAGAAGAAGCAAGACAAUUCAUGAAAAAUUACUCAAAUGGGCAUGCAUCGACAGUUAGUUAGCUCUGUUAUUGUUUCAAAUUUGAAAACUGAUGUCAGAAAAGGAGCAUGGGACAAAGUAGAGGAAACUGUGUCUCACUUGAAGCAAAAACAAUUAGAAAUGGCUGAAAUAGCAGUGUGGUUGGAGGCCACUGGUGGCGUGAGGAAAGGGAAGUAAUGCAAUAGCAGCACAAGGAUAUGGAAGAGCAAUACGGUAGUAUUUGUGAGACCGUCCAGAAAAUGGAAGCAUCAUUUGCGCACUUUAGUGCACAUCUUAGUAU